rnacentral:SRP_RNA from 1 species
GCCGGGUGCAGGGGUGUUACCUGUAGUCCCAGCUACUCGGGAGGCUGAGGUGGGAGGAUCGCUUGAGCCCAGGAGUUCUGGGCUGUAGUACGCUAUCCUGAUCGGGUGUCCGCACUAAGUUCGGCAUCAAUAUGGUGACCUCCUGGGAGCCGCGGACCGCCAGGUUGCCUAAGGAGGGGUGAACCGGCCCAGGUCAGAAAUGGAGCAGGUCAAAACUCCCCUUCUGAUCAGUAGUGGGAUCAUGCCUAUGAAUAGCCACUGCACUCCAGCCUCGGCAACAUAGUGAGACCUCGUCUCU